AUUGAACGCUGGCGGCAGGCUUAACACAUGCAAGUCGAGCGGAGAUGAGGUGCUUGCACCUUAUCUUAGCGGCGGACGGGUGAGUAAUGCUUAGGAAUCUGCCUAUUAGUGGGGGACAACAUUCCGAAAGGAGUGCUAAUACCGCAUACGCCCUACGGGGGAAAGCAGGGGAUCUUCGGACCUUGCGCUAAUAGAUGAGCCUAAGUCGGAUUAGCUAGUUGGUGGGGUAAAGGCCUACCAAGGCGACGAUCUGUAGCGGGUCUGAGAGGAUGAUCCGCCACACUGGGACUGAGACACGGCCCAGACUCCUACGGGAGGCAGCAGUGGGGAAUAUUGGACAAUGGGCGGAAGCCUGAUCCAGCCAUGCCGCGUGUGUGAAGAAGGCCUUUUGGUUGUAAAGCACUUUAGGCGAGGAGGAGGCUACUUAGAUUAAUACUCUAGGAUAGUGGACGUUACUCGCAGAAUAAGCACCGGCUAACUCUGUGCCAGCAGCCGCCGUAACAC
rnacentral:rRNA from 1 species